rnacentral:snRNA from 1 species
AUGUCCAUAACCCAACACAGUGCUCACUACUGGAGCAAUACAAAGAAGAUUAGCAUGGCCGCUUUGCAAGGGUGACAGGCAAAAAUGUAUUUUAUGACUACACUGCU